rnacentral:rRNA from 1 species
GACGCAGCACGCCGCGUGGCGGGAUGACGGCCUUCGGGUUGUAAACCGCUUUCAGCAGGGACGAAGCAACACGUGACGGUACCUGCAGAAGAAGCACCGGCCAACUACGUGCCAGCAGCCGCGGUGAUACGUAGGGUGCGAGCGUUGUCCGGAAUUAUUGGGCGUAAAGAGCUUGUAGGCGGUUUGUUACGUCGAAAGUGAAAACUCAGGGCUCAACCCUGAGCCUGCUCUCGAUACGGGCAGACUAGAGGAAUGUAGGGGAGAACGGAAUUCUUGGUGGAGCGGUGGAAUGCGCAGAUAUCAGGAGGAACACCGGUGGCGAAGGCGGUUCUCUGGACAUUUCCUGACGCUGAGAAGCGAAAGCGUGGGUAGCAAACAGGCUUAGAUACCCUGGUAGUCCACGCCGUAAACGGUGGGUACUAGGUGUGGGGGACAUUCCACGUUCUCCGUGCCGUAGCUAACGCAUUAAGUACCCCGCCUGGGGAGUACGGCCGCAAGGCUAAAAC